rnacentral:rRNA from 1 species
UCCGCUAGUAGUGGCGAGCGAACGCGGAAGAGGCCAAACCGGAGGUAGCAAUAUUUCCGGGGUUAGGACUGCAAUAUGUAACUUUAAUCUUUAACUGAAUGCUUUGGGAAGAGCAGCGAUACAGGGUGAUAGCCCCGUAAGUGAAAAGGAUUGAGUGCUAGCAGUAUCCAGAGUACCAGCGGACACGUGAAACCCGCUGGGAAGAUGGGGGGACCAUCCUCCAAGCCUAAAUACUACUCAGUGACCGAUAGUGGAGCAGUACCGUGAGGGAAAGGUGAAAAGUACCCCGGGAGGGGAGUGAAAAAGAACCUGAAACCUUGUGCCUACAAGCACCGAGAGCACGUUAAAGUGUGAUCGGGUACUUUUUGUAGAACGGUCCGGCGAGUUAAUAUUUGCAGCGAGGUUAAGGAACUGGAGUUCCGGAGCCGCAGCGAGAGCGAGUCUGAAAAGGGCGUAUGAAGUUGCAGGUAUUAGACCCGAAACCGGGUGACCUAUCCAUGAGCAGGCUGAAGCGGUGGUAAGACACCGUGGAGGGCCGCACCCACGUCUGUUGAAAAAGCCGGGGAUGACUUGUGGAUAGCGGAGAAAUUCCAAUCGAACUCGGAGAUAGCUGGUUCUCCCCGAAAUAGCUUUAGGGCUAGCGUUAUUUUAGAUUACCGGAGGUAAAGCACUGAAUGGUCUAGGGGCCGCGAGGUUACCAAAGCCUAUCAAACUCUGAAUGCCGGAUAAUUGAUGAAUAGCAGUCAGACUGUGUGAGAUAAGUCUCAUAGUCAAAAGGGAAACAGCCCAGAUCUACAGCUAAGGUCCCAAAUGAACACUAAGUGGAAAAUGAUGUGAAACUGCGAAGACAACCAGGAUGUUGGCUUAGAAGCAGCCACUCAUUCAAAGAGUGCGUAAUAGCUCACUGGUCGAGUGGUUUUGCGCAGAAAAUGUAACGGGGCUAAGUGUUCAACCGAAGCUUAGGCAUUGCAGUAAUGCAUUGGGUAGGGGAGCGUCGUAUGCGGGGCGAAGUCAGAGCGGAAGCACUGGUGGACUGCAUACGAGUGAGAAUGCCGGAAUAAGUAGCGAGAAUUAUGUGGGAAUCAUAAUGGCCGAAAAUCUAAGGUUUCUUGGGGAAGGUUCGUCCGCCCAAGGUUAGUCGGGAGCUAAGCUCAGGCCGAAAGGCGUAGGCGAUGCACAUACGGUAGAAAUUCCGUAACCACCGAACAUUUAAGCUAGAGGGACGCUUUCAUUAAGUCUAUCCCGGGCGAUGGUUGCCCCGGGCGUAAGGGACCGAAAUAUAGUAGGGAAGUAGACGGCGUGAGAGACGAGAAAAGCUCUAGUGUAUACUAAGGUGCCCGUACCGCAAACCGACACAGGUAGAUGGGAUGAGUAUUCUAAGGCCAACGGGAGAAGGGUUGUUAAGGAACUCGGCAAAUUGGCCCCGUAACUUCGGGAUAAGGGGCGCCUGCGAGAGCAGGCCGCAGUGAAAAGGCCCAAGCGACUGUUUAGCAAAAACACAGCUCUCUGCUAAAUCGAAAGAUGACGUAUAGGGGGUGACGCCUGCCCGGUGCUGGAAGGUUAAGGGGAGUGCUUAGCGCAAGCGAAGGUGCGAACUUAAGCCCCAGUAAACGGCGGCCGUAACUAUAACGGUCCUAAGGUAGCGAAAUUCCUUGUCAGGUAAGUUCUGACCCGCACGAAUGGCGUAACGAUUUGGGCACUGUCUCAACAGCCCGCCCGGCGAAAUUGUAGUACCGGUGAAGAUGCCGGUUUCCCGCAACUAGACGGAAAGACCCCAUGGAGCUUCACUGUAGCUUGAUAUUGGAUCUCGGUAUUCCAUGUACAGGAUAGGUGGGAGGCUAGGAAGUAAGCGCGCCAGCGUUUAUGGAGCCAACCUUGGGAUACCACUCUUGGGAUAUUGGGAUUCUAACCUGCGACCAUGAAUCUGGUCGGGGGACACUGUCAGGUGGGCAGUUUGACUGGGGCGGUCGCCUCCAAAAGAGUAACGGAGGCGCUCAAAGGUUCGUUCAGCACGGAUGGAAAUCGUGCACUGAGUGUAAACGCAUAAACGAGCCUAACUGCGAGAAUGACGGUUCGAGCAGUAACGAAAGUUGGAGUUAGUGAUCCGGCGGUAUGU